GUCAGGGACGAUUUCUUGGACGGAAUAGCCGGCGGUGGGGUCGGAGUCAAUGGGAGAGACACGGCCUGGGGAGAGGAUCCGGCGGGGGGCGAUCCUACCCACGAAGUUUAACCCGGAUUUGGAGUUAAGCGGUGAGCCGGGGAGUGAGUUUGAAGCGGGUUUAGAAAAGGAGUCAUGCUUCUUAUGAAGUGCUUUAGCGAUGAUUACAGGGUUCUCGGGGCUUGGGGGAUGACCAGAUAAGGAGCAGCACCAGGAGAGUUUCCGAGGCUGGGAAGGGGGCUUCCGGCGGGCGGAAUUGGCCAUGGAACGGCGGCGAGUCAGAUCCGGAGUUCUAGAGAGAGAAAGCAACAGAGACAGAACAUUGUUGUAAAAUGGAAGAAAGGGAAGAGGGUAGCAUUGUUUAG
rnacentral:misc_RNA from 1 species